rnacentral:rRNA from 1 species
CCUACGGGCGGCAGCAGUGAGGAAUAUUGGUCAAUGGACGCAAGUCUGAACCAGCCAUGCCGCGUGCAGGAAGACGGCUCUAUGAGUUGUAAACUGCGUUUGUACGAGGGUAAACGCAGAUACGCGUAUCUUUCUGAAAGUAUCGUACGAAUACGGAUCGGCUAACUCCGUGCCAGCAGCCGCGGUAAUACGGAGGAUUCAAGCGUUAUCCGGAUUUAUUGGGUUUAAAGGGUGCGUAGGCGGUCGGAUAAGUUAGAGGUGAAAUCCCGAGGCUCAACUUCGGAAUUGCCUCUGAUACUGUUCGGCUAGAGAGUAGUUGCGGUAGGCGGAAUGUAUGGUGUAGCGGUGAAAUGCUUAGAGAUCAUACAGAACACCGAUUGCGAAGGCAGCUUACCAAGCUACUUCUGACGUUGAGGCACGAAAGCGUGGGGAGCAAACAGGAUUAGAUACCCUUGUAGUC